rnacentral:misc_RNA from 1 species
UUUCCGUAGGUGAACCUGCGGAAGGAUCAUUAAUGAGUUGUCAUGGGGUUCGAUGCUGGCAGCCAAUUUUUGGAUGCAUGUGCUUGCCCUAACAAUCAUCUUCCAAACACCUGUGCACAUUUUUGAGGGUGUCUUGAGUUGGUUGCCGCUCUUGGGUGAUUUUCUCACAUUCCCUUAAAUCAUUAUACGCUAUUAACAAUGUUGAACGUGCUCUGUGCCGCAAGGCUAUUAAUAUAAUACAACUUUUAACAACGGAUCUCUUGGCUCUC